ACGGGCGGAGUGUACAAGGCCCGGGAACGUAUUCACCGCGGCAUGCUGAUCCGCGAUUACUAGCAAUUCCGGCUUCACGCAGGCGGGUUGCAGCCUGCGAUCCGAACUGAGACAAUUUUUAUGAGGUUCGCUCCACCUCGCGGGUUCCGCUUCUCCUUGNUAAUUUGCCAAUUUGUAAUACGU
rnacentral:rRNA from 1 species